UGUCUACGGCAGUGCCGAAUAAUUAAUAAUUGAUUGCGCUCCCAGCGAUCGGGAAUUCGCCGCUAGUAGGCGCAACUAAAGCCGAGAGAAGCCGCUGCAAUUGGAAGAGAAUUAGUUUAAUUCGCACCUCCGCAGCCACCGUCUGGACGGGGAAGCAGCGAUUUUAUAACCGGGUAAUUGCAACAGAUUCGCCGCCUCGCAUCGAAAAAAGCGCUUUUGGAGAUGGAAGGUUCCGAAAUAUGCACGUUAGUUAAACCGAC